AGAGUUUGAUCCUGGCUCAGAGUGAACGCUGGCGGCAGGCCUAAUACAUGCAAGUCGAACGGCAGCACAGCAGAGCUUGCUCUGUGGGUGGCGAGUGGCGGACGGGUGAGGAAUACGUGGGAAUCUGCCCAGUCGUGGGGAUAACGUAGGGAAACUUACGCUAAUACCGCAUGCGCCCUUCGGGGAAAGCCGGGGACCUUCGGGCCUGGCGCGAUUGGAUGAGCCCACGUCGGAUUAGCUAGUUGGCGGGGUAAAGGCCCACCAAGGCGACGAUCCGUAGCUGGUCUGAGAGGAUGAUCAGCCACACUGGAACUGAGACACGGUCCAGACUCCUACGGGAGGCAGCAGUAGGGAAUAUUGGACAAUGGGCGCAAGCCUGAUCCAGCCAUGCCGCGUGAGUGAAGAAGGCCCUCGGGUUGUAAAGCUCUUUUGUCCGGAAAGAAAAGCGCCGGGUUAAUACCCUGGUGUCCUGACGGUACCGGAAGAAUAAGCACCGGCUAACUUCGUG
rnacentral:rRNA from 1 species